CCUANGGGUGGCAGCAGUAAGGAAUAUUGGACAAUGGGCGCAAGCCUGAUCCAGCCAUGCCGCGUGCAGGAUGAAAGUGCUAUGCACUGUAAACUGCUUUUGUUUGGGAAAAAACCCCUGGUUUAUACCGGGGCUGAUUGUACCAAAAGAAUAAGGGACGGCUAACUUCGUGCCAGCAGCCGCGGUAAUACGAAGGUCCCAAGCGUUAUCCGGAUUUAUUGGGUUUAAAGGGUGCGUAGGCGGACUAUUAAGUCAGUGGUGAAAGCCCCAAGCUUAACUUGGGAACUGCCAUUGAUACUGAUGGUCUUGAGUACAUUUGAGGUGGGCGGAAUGUGUCAUGUAGCGGUGAAAUGCUUAGAUAUGACACAGAACACCGAUUGCGAAGGCAGCUCACUAAACUGUAACUGACGCUGAGGCACGAAAGCGUGGGGAGCAAACAGGAUUAGAUACCCGUNUANUC
rnacentral:rRNA from 1 species